GAGAUCCCUCCGCUUCCGCGCCGGAAACUGGGCUUUGCUUUGGAGUCUCGGGCGGUGGCAGCUCCGAUUCCACAGCCUGAAGACUAUGAGCUCGGAGGGUCCGCGAAGGGCCGCCCGGCCUCGGCCCCCGCCUCCUGCGCGUCGCCUGACAGCAUUACCGUUUCCACAGUGACAGCGUUUCCUCCGGCGGCCCUCCCGCCGCCUCCAGGGCCAUGGCUUCGUCCCGGGCACCCCUUCCGCACGUCACUUCCGGAAGCGACUCGCUCUGACGCCGUCCGCCCUCGUUGCCAUGGAGACGCUUGCGCUUUCCCGGGCCGCACUUCCCACCCGGGUCUUCAGAAGCCCGUGGCCGCUGGGUGAGCCCCUGCGUGAACGCACACGCACGCACACGGCUUCAGGUUGCCCCGCGGCGCCGCGCGCGAUAUCGGCUCGGAUCCCGGGAGGCCGUCCGCCCCUUUUUCAGCGGAUAGCUGAGGCCAGGUAAGUGACCGCGCGAGGACCCGGGAACUCCGUGACGCCCGUCCCGCCUCUGCUGUCCCCGCCGCAAGCGCUGCGCUCUGCACGGCGAGAGGGGCCUCUUGCCCUGUUGAGAGCCGGCGGGCACGGCACUUCUGCGCUUGGAAAAGGGUGGUCCAGCACUGCAGGUCCCACUCCUUGGCCCGGUCAGCGUCCGCCUUUGCUGAACCCCGAAAGGAUUCACCAGGUCCAGGACAGCCCGGCAGUUGCCUCAGGAGCACUUACUGAGCGCCUGUCGUUGACGCCCCCACCUCGAUGGCAGCUCAGGGGUGCCCUCAAGCUUUUGAGGGCAGGUGUCGUGUAUUUAAAUUCUUCACAGUUUAGCGGGCUGGACUCACGGGGGUGCUGCAGACUUGGACGGGGUUUCAUCUGGGUCGGACCUUGCUGGGCAGAAAGCUUCUCCUACCAGACAAAGUACGGCGACCUUGGGGGGUCUUGGUUCUUACCUCGUGUUCCUCAUUGAAUGAGUGUUGGUUCAGUGCUCUCGCUGUGCCAGGUGUUGUGCGAAGUACUGUGAGGGAGAAUAUGUAUUUAUUUGUGGGGAGCCGACUUUAAACCGGUGGUUGGGAAAGGCCUGAGAGGCGAUAUUGAAGACACCUGAAGGGUGAGUGAAAGAGCACGGCGGGUGAGUGGAGCAGCUUUCUCGUGCAGGUCCCGGGGUGGGAAAGAGGUUGGUGUAUUUGAAGCACUGAAAGGCAGCCACUGAAGCUGAAGUGUAGCAGUUUAACCCAUGGUUUUAUAUUCUCCUGGGAGGAUUCAGAAGGGUGUAUGUGUGUAUGUAUAUAUAAUAGCCUGAAUAUAAACGUCAAGGGUGUUAGGUUUUGAAGGGAAGGUGAAGGUUAAAGAAUGACGCACAGUGAGAUUGCCGGCGCGCGGGCGGCUCUACAGCAACACAGGUGUAUUGCAAACACCUGUCGGGGGCCAGCUUAAUGCCAGAGCCCACCAGCGAUUACAGGCUGGGGUACUCAUAGGCCUGGGCAGGAGGGAUCUAGGCAGUAUGGCUUGCUGUCCGGGAAGAUGUUAACGUGUUCCCAGGAUGAGGUGGUUCCGGCAGAAUGUGGUGUUCCUGGCGCUUUGUCCCAGCAGAAUAUGUUAAGAGGCAGGCUGUUUCUCAUGGCUCGAACCCCCGUGGAAUGUUUCACUUUGACCAAGGUCUACAAAAUGGAAAGGGGCUUACAAAAUGACGCAGUUUGGACUAACAAAGGGGAAAAUACAGAGGAUGAAAUUAGACUCUAGAGGUUGAGGCUCAGGAAAGGCUUCAUACAGCUUUGGGAACUGACAAGGCUUUGAAAGCAGGGUCAGUUUUCAGCGAAUGAGCGUCACCCACUGCACCCUGCGCACCCUGCUCCCCUGCUGCGGUGUCUUUCCCACCAGAGUGUAGCAGGACAAGCCGCAGACAAAACCCCUCAGACACCGAGUUAAAGAAGGGCUUUAUUCAGCUGGGAGCUUCGGCAAGACUCACGUCUCCAACAACCGAGCUCCCCGAGUGAGCAAUUCCUGUCCCUUUUAAGGGCUCACAACUCUUCAGGGGUCUGCGUGAGAGGGUCGU
rnacentral:lncRNA from 1 species